rnacentral:rRNA from 1 species
AACGAACGCUGGCGGCAGGCUUAACACAUGCAAGUCGAGCGCCCCGCAAGGGGAGCGGCAGACGGGUGAGUAACGCGUGGGAAUCUACCCAUCUCUACGGAAUAACGCAUGGAAACGUGUGCUAAUACCGUAUACGUCCUUCGGGAGAAAGAUUUAUCGGAGAUGGAUGAGCCCGCGUUGGAUUAGCUAGUUGGUGGGGUAAAGGCCUACCAAGGCGACGAUCCAUAGCUGGGCUGAGAGGAUGAUCAGCCACACUGGGACUGAGACACGGCCCAGGCUCCUACGGGGGGCAGCAGUGGGGAAUAUUGGACAAUGGGCGCAAGCCUGAUCCAGCCAUGCCGCGUGAGUGAUGAAGGCCCUAGGGUUGUAAAGCUCUUUCACCGGUGAAGAUAAUGACGGUAACCGGAGAAGAAGCCCCGGCUAACUUCGUGCCAGCCGCCGCAGUAAAAC